rnacentral:lncRNA from 1 species
GAUGGGAAUAUUAACUGAAGGAGAAGUCUAAAGUGUGGAGCGCCUUUGGUAAAUGUCACUGAGGGGUGGCCAAGCCUCCCUCCAAGGGGUAAGGCCUUGGCAGUGAGAUGCAUCAGAGCUGUUGGAGUCAGGGUGCUGGCGGUCUUCUGCAGCAGGGGCACCUGUCCUGAGAUCAAAUGUCUGCACUGGCUGAAGGGCAUGGUCACAAACCAGACUAAACCCUAAGUAGACUCCAGUUCCACAUUUUAAA